UGACCCCAGGUCAGGCAGGAUCACCCGCUGAGUUUAAGCAUAUCAAUAAGCGGAGGAAAAGAAACUAACAAGGAUUCGCUUAGUAACAGUGAGCGAACCGGGAAGAGCCCAGCUUGAAAAUCGGAUGUCUUCGGCGUUCGAAUUGUAGUCUGGAGAAGCGUCCUCAGCGACGGACCGGGCCCAAGUUCCCUGGAAAGGGGCGCCAGAGAGGGUGAGAGCCCCGUCGUGCCCGGACCCUGUCGCACCACGAGGCGCUGUCUACGAGUCGGGUUGUUUGGGAAUGCAGCCCCAAUCGGGCGGUAAAUUCCGUCCAAGGCUAAAUAUGGGCGAGAGACUGAUAGCGAACAAGUACCGCGAGGUAAAGAUGAAAAGGACUUUGAAAAGAGAGCAAAGAGUGCUUGAAAUUGUCGGGAGGAAAGCGGAUGGGGGCCGGUGAUUCAUCCCGGUCGGAUGCAGAACGGAGCAAUCCGAUCUGCCGAUCGAUUCGGGGAGUGGCGGGCGGUAAAUUCCGUCCAAGGCUAAAUAUGGGCGAGAGACCGAUAGCGAACAAGUACCGCGAGGUAAAGAUGAAAAGGACUUUGAAAAGAGAGUCAAAGAGUGCUUGAAAUUGUCGGGAGGGAAGCGGAUGGGGGCCGGCGAUGCGUCCUGGUCGGAUGCGGAACGGAGCAAUCCGAUCUGCCGAUCGAUUCGGGGAGUGGACCUAUGCGCCUCUCGGCGUGCCUUGGCAUCUGCGUGCUCAGGACGUCGGCCUGUGGGCUCCCCAUUUGACCCAUCUUAAAACAUGGACCAAGGAGUCUGCCAUGUGUGUGAGUCAACGGGUGAGUAAACCCGUAAGGCGCAAGGAAGCUGAUUGGCUGGAUGCCUCACGGGUGCACAGCCGACCGACCUUGAUCUUCUGAGAUGGGUUCGAGUGUGAGCAUGCCUGUCGGGACCCGAAAGAUGGUGAACUAUGCCUGAGCGGGGCAAAGCCAGAGGAAACUCUGGUGGAGGCUCGCCGUGAUACUGACGUGCAAAUCGUUUGUCUGACUUGGGUAAAGGGGCGAAAGACUAAUCGAACCAUCUAGUAGCUGGUUCCCUCCGAAGUUUCCCUCAAGAUAGCUUGAGCUCGAAAACGAGUUCUAUCGGGUAAAGCCAAUGAUUAGAGGCAUCGGGGAGGCAAUGUCCUCGACCUAUUCUCAAACUUUAAAUAGGUAGGACGGGGUGGCUGCUUUGUUGAGCCAUCCCACGGAAUCGAGAGCUACAAGUGGGCCAUUUUUGGUAAGCAGAGUUAGCGAUGUGGGAUGAACCGGAAGCCGGGUUACGGUGCCCAACUGCGCGCUAACCUAGAACCCACAAAAGGUGUUGGUCGGUUAAGGCAGCAGGACGGUAGUCAUGGAAGUUGAAAUCCGCUAAGGGGUGUGUAAAAACUCACCUUCUGAAUCCACUAGCCCCAAAAAUGGAUGGCGCUGAAGCGUGCGACCUAUACCCGGCCGUCGGGGCAAGAGCCAGGCCUCGAUGAGUAGGAGGGCGCGGCAGUCGCUGCAAAACCUAAUGAAGGACCCUAAGAUCGGCUCACUCGAAUGGAUCAGAUUUGGAUAUGAACUCCAGAUGGAGAACUGGAUGGAUUGAAGGGUCGCACGAAGGUUGUGGAAUGGCCUUCGAUAUUCCCGACUUUAGAUGGUGCUUGAUAUGACUCACAAGUCCACCAAAUGAAUAAUCUCUCGUCGUUGCUU
rfam:Brassica napus, WGS project CCCW01000000 data, contig: 23183